ensembl:lncRNA
CGGACGGCCGCUCGGCGCUUCUCCGCGGCCGGCGGCGCCCUUAUGGCGGCGCUUUGCGUAUCCACCGCGGCUACAGGUUGGGGAUCUCGGAGCGUUUGAUCGUUUAUUUAUCCCGCCGGCACUCCCUGGAAUUUUGGAAGACCUCCCAGCAGAAGGAAGGAGCCAGCACUGCACCACCUGUUGUUCCAUUACCUCGUGGAAGGCAGUGGCAGAACAGAUCUCACAGGGAAUACGUUCAGGAGGAAGAAAGAAGUGCUGUUGUCCCCAGGUCAACCUUAGCCCACCGUUCGGAUACGUAGAAGAUACACAGGGAAGGAGGAGUUUAUUCAAAAGAUAAAAGCUUAGCUAGGCUGUGGCUAUCCCAAACAAUAUACUUUUGUAACAGGUUGUGGAACAAAACCAAGUUACAUCAUCCUGCCAGCUGUGCUGUUCCCGGGGCUGGCAGCUCCUCACACUUCAGGCAUGUCCAGGCACAGCCCCAGCCCCGCUGGCCUACACCAGUGUCCCUGGGCCAGAGCAGUGGCACUGUGAGCCCAGAGCACACAGCAUCAUCCUUUCCUUUGUGAUGCCACCCAUCUCACCAUCGUCUGUGCUGAUUUCUAUUAACCGCUCCUGGGCUACUCUGUAAUGCACUGCAGGAUCAUAGCCAUCUGUUUAGCCUCUCUUAGCAGGGCCCAUUACUUUUAACAGCAUGGCAACACGCAUGCCAUGUAGGGCUGUACGAAUGCCUCCCCACCAGCACUGUGCUAUAUAAGGGUAAGGUUUUUGCCUAUCGUUGAGCGCCGAAUGCAGACAAUCAAAAAAAUCAUCCACAUAUUUCUCAUUCCUCACGUCAGGACCCAAACAAUGAAAAGCAAUUAAAUCCAAAUGUGCCUCAGGCUUCCUACCUGAGAAGCCCAGUGCUGUUUGUUUGCUGUUUCUUGUGGGAUGAAAUAGGCUCAGGCACCAGUGCUGCACAGGAGGGGCCUUCCAACACCAGGCUCUGCCUAUCCUGCUGCAUCCCCCAGUUGCUUCUCUGCUCUCUCUAUAAUGGGAGCUGAUGGUUUUAUUGUUAUCUGGCUGUUGCACAAUCCCUACCAGCUGUGCUCACCUCACUCAGAGACGGACACAUUUGCAGAAAGAACAAGCACCUGCAGUGGGAAUCUAUCAGGCAGGAAUGGAAACACCUGAGAUCUGCAGCAUCACUGUCAG